ACACGACUACAUUAGAUACCCCUGUAGUCCUAGCCGUAAACGAUACUCGCUAGGUGUCGGCCACGGUGCGACCGUUGUCGGUGCCGUAGGGAAGCCGUGAAGCGAGCCACCUGGGAAGUACGGCCGCAAGGCUGGAAACUUAAAGGAAUUGGCGGGGGAGCACCACGACGGGUGGAGCCUGCGGUUUAAUCGGACUCAACGCCGGGAAUCUCACCGGAUAAGACAGCUGAAUGAUAGUCGGGAUGGAGACUCUACUUGACUAGCUG
rnacentral:rRNA from 1 species